rnacentral:rRNA from 1 species
UGGGGAAUUUUGGACAAUGGGCGCAAGCCUGAUCCAGCAAUGCCGCGUGCAGGAAGAAGGCCUUCGGGUUGUAAACUGCUUUUGUACGGAACGAAAAGGCCAGCCCUAAUACGGCAGGCCCAUGACGGUACCGUAAGAAUAAGCACCGGCUAACUACGUGCCAGCAGCCGCGGUAAUACGUAGGGUGCGAGCGUUAAUCGGAAUUACUGGGCGUAAAGCGUGCGCAGGCGGUGAUGUAAGACAGUUGUGA